rnacentral:rRNA from 1 species
UACGGAGGGUGCAAGCGUUAAUCGGAAUUACUGGGCGUAAAGCGCACGUAGGCGGUUCAGUCAGCCAGCCGUGAAAGCCCCGGGCUCAACCUGGGAAUUGCGGUUGGAACUGCUGAGCUAGAGUAUGGUAGAGGGGUGUGGAAUUCCAGGUGUAGCGGUGAAAUGCGUAGAUAUCUGGAGGAACAUCAGUGGCGAAGGCGACACCCUGGACCAAUACUGACGCUGAGGUGCGAAAGCGUGGGGAGCAAACAGG